rnacentral:rRNA from 1 species
GUUGAACGCUGGCGGCGUGCCUAAUACAUGCAAGUCGAGCGAACAGACGAGGCGCUUGCUCCUCUGACGUUAGCGGCGGACGGGUUAGUAACACGUGGAUAACCUACCUAUAAGACUCGGAUAACUUCGGGAAACCGUAGCUAAUACCGGAUAAUAUAUUGAACCGCAUGGUUCAAUAGUGAAAGACGGUUUUGCUGUCACUUAUAGAUGGAUCCGCUCCGCAUUAGCUAGUUGGUAAGGUAACGGCUUACCAAGGCAAUGAUGCGUAGCCGACCUGAGAGGGUGAUCGGCCACACUGGAACUGAGACACGGCCCAGACUCCUACGGGAGGCAGCAGUAGGGAAUCUUGCGCAAUGGGCGAAAGCCUGACGGAGCAACGCCGCGUGAGUGAUGAAGGUCUUCGGAUCGUAAAACGCUGUUAUUAGGGAAGAACAAAUGUGUAAGUAACUAUGCACGUCUUGACGGUACCUAAUCAGAAAGCCACGGCUAACUACGUG